AAACACUUUUAUUAUACGUAUUUAUUAAUGGUAAUUUUAAAAUGGCAAUUUUAAACUAAUUCGUUUAAAUUUAAAAUUAAUCACAUUUCGUCGUAGUAUUCAUCUAUCCGUAUUUCAUAACAUAAACUAGAAAAAAUUACAUACCUAUUGCUGUGCUGAAAUCAUGAAUCCGGUUUCGGCUUUAGCGAAAAUUUUGGCAAGAUUUGAAUAUGGAAUAUUUGGUAAUCAGGCAUUGCUUUUUUUAAAACAUUUUAGGCGUGGAAGAUUCCGGGUCAUCUUGGGCAAAUAGGGUUUAUAACUUCAAUGUCCGAACAUUUCUGUGGAAGCUGCAACAGAUUACGAAUUACAGCAGAUGGAAAUUUAAAAGUUUGCCUUUUUGGAAAUACUGAAAUUUCCUUAAGAGACGCUCUCCGAGCAGGUUGCAGUGACGACGAUCUUGUAACUUUAAUUUCAGCAGCUGUUAAGAGGAAAAAGAAACAACACGCAGGCAUGUUAAAUCUAUUAAAUAUGGAAAAUAGACCUAUGAUACUAAUAGGAGGAUAACCAUAAUUAGUAG